rnacentral:rRNA from 1 species
UGUGACUGCGUACCUUUUGUAUAAUGGGUCAGCGACUUAUAUUCAGUGGCAAGGUUAACCAUCUAGGGGAGCCGUAGGGAAACCGAGUCUUAACUGGGCGUUCAGUCUCUGGAUAUAGACCCGAAACCAGGUGAUCUAGCCAUGGGCAGGUUGAAGGUUGAGUAACAUCAACUGGAGGACCGAACCGACUAAUGUUGAAAAAUUAGCGGAUGACUUGUGGCUAGGGG